GAAUCUUGCGCAAUGGGCGAAAGCCUGACGCAGCCAUGCCGCGUGAAUGAUGAAGGUCUUAGGAUUGUAAAAUUCUUUCACCGGGGACGAUAAUGACGGUACCCGGAGAAGAAGCCCCGGCUAACUUCGUGCCAGCAGCCGCGGUAAUACGAAGGGGGCUAGCGGUGCUCGGGAUUAACGGGCGUAAAGGGGGCGUAGGCGGUUCGUUAAGUCAGAGGUGAAAUCCCAGGGCUCAACCCUAGAACUGCCUUUGAUACUGGCGAUCUUGAGGAUGAGAGAGGUAUGUGGAACUCCGAGUGUAGAGGUGAAAUUCGUAGAUAUUCGGAAGAACACCAGUGGCGAAGGCGACAUACUGGCUCAUUACUGACGCUGAGGCGCGAAAGCGUGGGGAGCAAACA
rnacentral:rRNA from 1 species